UUCCUCAGUAGCUCAGCGGUAGAGCGAUCGGCUGUUAACCGAUUGGUCGUAGGUUCAAAUCCUUCCUGGGGAGG
rnacentral:tRNA from 1 species